rnacentral:rRNA from 1 species
GACGGAGGGUGCUAGCGUUGUUCGGAAUUACUGGGUGUAAAGGGCGCGUAGGCAGUUUAUCAAGUUGGGCGUGAAAGCCCCGGGCUUAACCUGGGAAUUGCGUUUGAUACUGGUAGACUAGAGGACGGGAGAGGAAAGUGGAAUUCCUAGUGUAGAAGUGAAAUUCGUAGAUAUUAGGAGGAACACCAGAGGCGAAGGCGACUUUCUGGACCGAUGCUGACGCUGAGGCGCGAAAGAGUGGGGAGCAAACAGG